rfam:Citrobacter koseri ATCC BAA-895, complete genome.
UGCUUAAAAAGACACUCUAGCCUCUACGCCUGUGUCAAAUUGAUAUGGUGUUUUGGCCGUGACAAGCCUCGAAAGAGUUUGCCACCAGGGCGCAGGAAGAAAUGACUCCGCCUCCCGUAUUUGGAAAGGUGUACAUGGCCUCACAAC